GAACUCCCUAGGCUUUGGAUAGUCGAUCCCUGGAGCCGCUAGAAUCGUGCUAGUACCCGCACUAGUUGACGCCUUCUUACAAGCGUCUAGGCCACUUUGCAUAUCCGCGCAAAGCUUGUUCACUUGGUCUUGGAUCGCUUUGACAGCAUCCAUGACCUUAACCUCCAACCUUGUAUAUUCUUCCCUUAAAGCGCCUUGGUCUUCCUUGAGAUCAUCAAGUUGUUCCAAGGUGUGAGCUUCAAGGGUUGAGAGUGAAUUCUCCACUACUUCAAUGCGUUCCCCCAUAUUGAGAAAUACCUCCUCAAGAGA
rnacentral:lncRNA from 1 species